GAUGAACGCUAGCUACAGGCUUGACACAUGCAAGUCGAGGGGUAACGAGAGGAAAGCUUGCUUUCCUUGUCGACGACCGGCGCACGGGUGAGUAACGCGUAUCCAACCUGCCCCCAACUAGGGAAUAACCUUGCGAAAGUAAGACUAAUACCCUAUAAUUUCCUCAGAUGUCAUCUGACAAGGAAUAAAGAUUUAUCGGUUGAGGAUGGGGAUGCGUCUGAUUAGCUUGUUGGCGGGGUAACGGCCCACCAAGGCAACGAUCAGUAGGGGUUCUGAGAGGAAGGUCCCCCACAUUGUAACUGAGACACGGUCCAAACUCCUACGGGAGGCAGCAGUGAGGAAUAUUGGUCAAUGGGCGGAAGCCUGAACCAGCCAAGUAGCGUGCAGGAUGACGGCCCUAUGGGUUGUAAACUGCUUUUAUACAGGAAUAAAGUUAGCCACGUGUGGUUAUUUGUAGAUACUGUAUGAAUAAGGACCGGCUAAUUCCGUGCCAGCCGCCGCAGUAA
rnacentral:rRNA from 1 species